rnacentral:rRNA from 1 species
GACGAACGCUGGCGGCGUGCCUAAUACAUGCAAGUAGAGCGCACAGUUUAUACCGUAGCUUGCUACACCAUAAACUGUGAGUUGCGAACGGGUGAGUAACGCGUAGGUAACCUGCCUGGUAGCGGGGGAUAACUAUUGGAAACGAUAGCUAAUACCGCAUAAUAUUAAUUAUUGCAUGAUAAUUGAUUGAAAGAUGCAAUUGCAUCACUACCAGAUGGACCUGCGUUGUAUUAGCUAGUAGGUGAGGUAACGGCUCACCUAGGCGACGAUACAUAGCCGACCUGAGAGGGUGAUCGGCCACACUGGGACUGAGACACGGCCCAGACUCCUACGGGAGGCAGCAGUAGGGAAUCUUCGGCAAUGGACGAAAGUCUGACCGAGCAACGCCGCGUGAGUGAAGAAGGUUUUCGGAUCGUAAAGCUCUGUUGUAAGAGAAGAACGGGUGUGAGAGUGGAAAGUUCACACUGUGACGGUAUCUUACCAGAAAGGGACGGCUAACUACGUG